rnacentral:rRNA from 1 species
GACGAACGCUGGCGGCGUGCUUAACACAUGCAAGUCGAACGGAAAGGCCCUGCUUUUGUGGGGUGCUCGAGUGGCGAACGGGUGAGUAACACGUGAGUAACCUGCCCUUGACUUUGGGAUAACUUCAGGAAACUGGGGCUAAUACCGGAUAGGAGCUCCUGCUGCAUGGUGGGGGUUGGAAAGUUUCGGCGGUUGGGGAUGGACUCGCGGCUUAUCAGCUUGUUGGUGGGGUAGUGGCUUACCAAGGCUUUGACGGGUAGCCGGCCUGAGAGGGUGACCGGCAAAGUGGGGCAUAGGAUACGGCCCAGACUCCUAGGGGGGGGAGAAGGGGGGAAUAUUGCACAAGGGGCGGAAGCCUGAUGCAGCAACGCCGGGGGGGGGAGGACGGCCUUGGGGUUGUAAACCGCUUUCGCCUGGGACGAAGCGUGAGUGAGGGUAAUGGGUAAAGAAGCACCGGCUAACUACGU